UGCGUGGCUACGUCCACUCGUGCACCCAUCGCACGGGGGGUUACUUUUCCUCUCUCAUCGCACGUUACAUUUGCUCACCUAUCUUUCUCCCACCUUAGGAGAGAUCCCCUUUUUCCCGACCACCUCCUGAGCCUGAGUUCCUUCCUCCCUCCGUGAUCCGCCGCUGCUCUCGCAUCCUCUCCACGAGGAGGUCUCAUCAGCGGAGCGCGGAUCCACGGCCGAUGCGCGUCCUCAGGUAAGCUGUGGUGUCGAUGCUGACUCAAUGAAGGCUGACCAGCCAUGCCUCCAUGGUGCCAUGGACUGGAACAGCAUGUGAUGUCCCUGCGAAUCAAUUAUUUUGCCAACGCGUCUGAUUCUACUUCAUCAGAAAGAUUCUUGGAGUGUGUCCCGUAACCAAAGCUCAACUUGUUUCUAGUACUUCAUCACAAAGAAAAAGGAAUCAAGUAAGGGAUGUUCUUAUCUGUCGAGAAGACAAGUGACCUUGUAAAUUAAGCUUGUUUAGCACAUUUCAUCCAUUUACUUGGCAUGUGGUAGAGACUUAUUGUGGAAUCUGCCAAAAAAUCAUGACAUGUUCUGUGGUAUAUCUACACUAGUUCACGGAGGAGUUAA